rnacentral:tRNA from 1 species
AGCAUUUAGCAGGGCUUGAUCCUGCGACCUUUUGGUUCGAAGCCAAAUGUUCUAUCCAACUGAACUACAAAUGC